rnacentral:lncRNA from 1 species
UGUAUUAAACCAGAUUUUAAUUCAAAAGGAACCGAAACAUCAGAAUAUUCAAUACAAAAGUCAUUAUAAUUAACAUCAGGAGCAGCAAACUGCCUUAAUGUUCUUUGAUCAUCCAUGUAAUAAUAAAAAAAAACACAGAAAUACCAAUUAUGUCCAAAUAGACAAAAACAAAUAGAAAGAAGAAACGAUUAAAAUAAAUUCAGAAAAAUACAAUAAUAUUAUUAUAACUUGUUUAGUUAAGUUUGACCCAUUGUUUU